AUACGGAGGGUGCAAGCGUUAUUCGGAAUCACUGGGCGUAAAGGACGCGUAGGCGGGUUGGCAAGUCAGAUGUGAAAUCCUACAGCUUAACUGUAGAACUGCAUUUGAAACUGCUAACCUAGAGUAUCGGAGGGGGAGAUGGAAUUAGUGGUGUAGGGGUAAAAUCCGUAGAUAUCACUAGGAAUACCGAAAGCGAAGGCGAUCUCCUGGAACAUAACUGACGCUAAGGCGUGAAAGCGUGGGGAGCAAACAGGAUUAGAAACCCUUGUAGUCC
rnacentral:rRNA from 1 species